rnacentral:rRNA from 1 species
UGAUCCUGGCUCAGAACGUACGCUGGCGGCACGCCUAACACAUGCAAGUCGAACGAAGUAGCAAUACUUAGUGGCAGACGGGUGAGUAACAUGUAGGUAUCUGCCCUUUGGCCUGGAAUAACACGAGGAAACUUGUGCUAAUACCGGAUAAGUCUUUACGGAGAAAGCUUUAUGCACCAUUGGAUGAGCCUGCACUUGAUUAGUUUGUUGGUAGGGUAAUGGCCUACCAAGACUGUGAUCAAUAGCUGAUUUGAGAGGAUGAUCAGCCACAUUGGGACUGAGACACGGCCCAAACUCCUACGGGAGGCAGCAGUGGGGAAUCUUGCACAAUGGAGGAAACUCUGAUGCAGCGAUGCCGCGUGAGUGAAGAAGGCCUUUGGGUUGUAAAGCUCUUUCGUCGGGGAAGAAAAUGACUGUACCCGAAUAAGAAGGUCCGGCUAACUUCGUGCCAGCAGCCGCGGUAAUACGAAGGGACCUAGCGUAGUUCGGAAUUACUGGGCUUAAAGAGUUCGUAGGUGGUUGAAAAAGUUGGUGGUGAAAUCCCAGAGCUUAACUCUGGAACUGCCAUCAAAACUUUUCAGCUAGAGUUUGAUAGAGGAAAGCAGAAUUUCUAGUGUAGAGGUGAAAUUCGUAGAUAUUAGAAAGAAUACCAAUUGCGAAGGCAGCUUUCUGGAUCAUUACUGACACUGAGGAACGAAAGCAUGGGUAGCGAAGAGGAUUAGAUACCCUCGUAGUCCAUGCCGUAAACGAUGUGUGUUAGACGUUGGAAAUUUAUUUUCAGUGUCGCAGCGAAAGCGAUAAACACACCGCCUGGGGAGUACGACCGCAAGGUUAAAACUCAAAUGAAUUGACGGGGACCCGCACAAGUAGUGGAGCAUGUGGUUUAAUUCGAAGAUACGCGCAGAACCUUACCAACACUUGACAUGUUCGUCGCGACUCUAAGAGAUUAGAGUUUUCGGUUCGGCCGGACGAAACACAGGUGCUGCAUGGCUGUCGUCAGCUCGUGUCGUGAGAUGUUGGGUUAAGUCCCGCAACGAGCGCAACCCUCACUUUUAGUUGCCAUCAUUAAGUUGGGCACUCUGAAAGAACUGCCAGUGAUAAGCUGGAGGAAGGUGGGGAUGACGUCAAGUCCUCAUGGCCCUUACGUGUUGGGCUACACACGUGCUACAAUGGUAUCUACAACAGGAAGCAAGACUGCGAAGUUAAGCAAAUCCCUAAAAGAUACCUCAGUUCGGAUUGCACUCUGCAACUCGAGUGCAUGAAGCUGGAAUUACUAGUAAUCGUGGAUCAGCGUGCCACGGUGAAUGCGUUCCCGGGUCUUGUACACACCGCCCGUCACACCAUGGGAGUUGGUUCUACCUUAAGGCAAGGCUUUAAACCCUUGACCACGGUAUAGUCAGCGACUGGGGUGAAGUCGUAACAAGGUAACC